GGGGAUGUUCGUUUCGACAGGAUUUUGCCCCAAAUUGACGCUAAGAGUGGAUGGUAGUCACCACUAUAAUCAUCAACCAAUCAUAUAACUGGCAACACUGCCAAUUACGCGUUCGCCUAACAUCGUUUAGGUACGCCAUCCCACUGCGAUGCUCGCUGGCAGAUUCUGGGGUGUUAUUAGCGAGCUCUGGCGGAACCGUGGUCUUUCCGAAUUCCGUCGAACUCUAGUAAAGACUAGCCAUGCAUUAUUUUGUCGGUUCUCUACUGCAUAGCGAACUACCAAACCGACUAUCUUAGUAGAAAUCAUUUGGUAAAAAUCUUGGACGGCGGUUCAAUCCGCCCAUCUCCACCA
rnacentral:tmRNA from 1 species